GCUCUUUUCCCAGAACUGCCAGGCUAAGACCUUGGCAGAGACUCAACAGGAAACUGAACUCUAUUUGCAUAUCCUUUUAUACAUGGGAGAUUAAAAGCUUCAACCUUGAGUGAUCACAGUUUUUGAGAAUCAUGAUGAGGCAUUAAAGAGGAGGAGGAGUGUCUCAAGGGAGGUGAGCUGGAGGCGAUGCAAGGUUUUCUGUCUUUCCUCUUCUGUCUCCUUCCAUCUGGAGUCGAGGGUGAAGCCACUCCACUGCAGACCAUUGAGUGCUGAGAGGAAUGGAGUCAGUAUUACUGAGCACCUGUGCUGUUGUAGUCACUCAGCCCUUGCUUCUAGGACACUGGAGGAAAGAGACGGAAAUAUAGUAUAUCACUUUACCUGUCUGCACUACAUUGCGUGAUGUGGAAGUCACUGAAUUUCUUCAUUCAUCAGUUUCUACAUAUUCAACCAAAGAGGUUGAGCCUGAUAAUAAUUAGUUUCUCAUUGUUGUGACACUCUGAGUGCACAUAUGUGGGGAUGGAUAUCCUCCAUACAGAAAGCAUGAUGAUGGUUUUGAUGCUGAGAAAUGGACUUUCUAUGAACUCAAAGAUUUUGUUUUUUAAAGAAAGAAAGAAAAAGGAGUGAAGGAGAGGAAGAAAGAGGAAGAAGAAGAGGGAGAGAGAAUGGGAAUAUAGCUUUAUUCUAAAAAUGGGAAUUAAUAAUGGCAGUUCAAUAUUUUGUGUAUUUAAGGUGGAGAAUGUAUAUUUUGUGUAUUUAAAGUGGAGAGCUCUAUAAAUAUUUAUUGAGUUUACUUGUUCUGAAUCUGAGUUCAAGUACUGGAUAUCCUUAUUAAUUUUUUGUCUCAUUGAGUCUAAUUCUCUUUAUGAAUCUUAUGCAUCUGGGUGUUAGGAUUGUUAGCUCUUAUUGUUGCAUUGAUCCUUUUACCACUGUAUCUUUGUUGCUUUAAACUUUAUUUUAUCAGAUGCAAGAAUUGCAACUCCUGCUUUUUAUUUAUUUAUUUAUUUUUGUUCUUCAUUUGGUUGGUAAAUCUUUCUCCAUCCCUUUGUUUUAAGUCUUUGUGUAUCUUUGGAUGUGAAAUGGGUCUGGAUGUAGCAUACCAUUAGGUUUUGGCUGUAUCUUUUGAUUGGGGGAUUUAGUCAACUUAAAUUUAGGGUUACUGCCAUUUGAUGUUAACUGGCUAUUUUAUCCAUUUGUUGAUGUAAAUUCUUCUUUAUGUUAAUGCUCUUUACUUUUUGGUAUAUUUUUAGAAAGAUAAUACUGGUUUUUCCUUUCUAUGUAUAAUGCUUCUUUCAGAAGCUCUUGUAAAGCCAGCCUGGUGGUAAUAAAAUCUCUGAGUACUUGCUUGUUCA
rnacentral:lncRNA from 13 species